rfam:TPA: Bos taurus chromosome 5, whole genome shotgun sequence.
UUCCCUAUAGCUCAGAUGGUAGAGAAUCUGCCUGCAAUGCAGGAGACCCAGGUUCAAUUCUGGGUCAGGAAG